AUGACGCAGGAGUAACGUCUUGUUUCCCUCGGGACAUUCCAGACAGGUGGUGCAUGGUUGUCGUCAGCUCGUGUCGUGAGAUGUUGGGUUAAGUCCCGCAACGAGCGCAACCCUUAUCCUUAGUAGCCAGCAGGUAGAGCUGGGCACUCUAGGGAGACUGCCAGGGAUAACCUGGAGGAAGGUGGGGAUGACGUCAAAUCAUCAUGCCCCUUAUGAUUUGGGCUACACACGUGCUACAAUGGCGUAAACAAAGGGAAGCGAGAGUGUGAGCUGGAGCAAAUCCCAAAAAUAACGUCUCAGUUCGGACUGUAGUCUGCAACCCGCCUGCACGAAGCUGGAAUCGCUAGUAAUCGCGAAUCAGAAUGUCGCGGUGAAUACGUUCCCGGGUCUUGUACACACCGCCCGUCACACCAUGGGAGUCAGUAACGCCCGAAGUCAGUGACCGAACCGAAAGGGAGGAGCUGCCGAAGGCGGGACGGAUAACUGGGGUGAAGUCGUAACAAGGUAGCCGUAUCGGAAGGUGCGGUUGGAUCACCUC
rnacentral:rRNA from 1 species